rnacentral:rRNA from 2 species
AACGGAGAGUUUGAUCCUGGCUCAGAAUGAACGCUGGCGGCGUGGAUUAGGCAUGCAAGUCGAACGAGAACGUGGAUUUUAUUCACAAGUAAAGUGGCGAACGGGUGAGUAACGCGUGGGAAACCUGCCCUUAAGAGGGGGAUAACAUUCCUAACGGGAUGCUAAUACCGCAUAAUAUUGCAGAUCGGAUGUUCUGUAAUCAAAGAUGGCCUCUACAUGUAAGCUGUUACUUAAGGAUGGUCCCGCGUCCAAUUAGCUAGUUGGUGAGGUAAAUGCUCACCAAGGCGACGAUUGGUAGCCGGCCUGAGAGGGUGACCGGCCACACUGGGACUGAGACACGGCCCAGACUCCUACGGGAGGCAGCAGUCGAGAAGCUUCGGCAAUGGGGGCAACCCUGACCGAGCGACGCCGCGUGGGUGAUGAAGUCUUUCGAGAUGUAAAGCCCUGUCAUUCGGGAUGAAAAGUUGAUUGGUCAACAGCCUUUUGACCUGACAGUACCGAAAGAGGAAGCUCCGGCUAACUCCGUGCCAGCAGCCGCGGUAAUACGGGGGGAGCAAGCGUUGUCCGGAAUCACUGGGCAUAAAGGGCGUGUAGGCGGGCAGCCAAGUCAGAUGUAAAAGGUCAUGGCUCAACUGUGAUUGGUCAUCUGAAACUGGUUGUCUUGAGUUCGGGAG